rnacentral:lncRNA from 1 species
UAUUUUUGAAAACCGUUCGGUUUUUAUUCUUCGUUUUCAAUCUUUUUGGUUUUAGCAAUUGUUUAGUUCGGUUUUUCGGAUUUUGGAACAAAAUUACGUAAGACGUAAAAAUAAAAAGUAUAAUUCAAAAUAUAAGAAUCUUUCUUAGAUGUUUACAUUAGAAAUGAAAUGAAAUUUUGAUUAUUAAAUACUUAUCAUAAAUAGUCGUUAUGAAGUCUCUUACAAUCUCGUUUUCGUCUCGCUUUGAUGUUUCCGUCAUCGGUUGGGGUGUGACAGAUUGAUAUCAGAUCCAUAACCAUAGGGAAUUAGGAAAAAUUAAUUACCAUAAUUUGACAUAGUCUAUGGUUAAGAAUGCCGAACUUUGACUGUUCUUGAUUAUUCAUGUUAAUUAUAUAAAAUGCUUCUAUAUGCUUCUUUAUCCUUCUUUUGCCAAAAAAAAAUUAUACAUUUGACUUUUCCUAAAGACACUUAUUGCACAAACAUGAAGGCACGAAAACACUCGUGUUAUACAAAUGAGACGAUUUCACCAAAAUAGACGUGAAACCCUCACUUCGGUGAAGAAUUCUCAAUCUGCGUUCUCGAUUUUCACGAAAUUAUACAUUAAGUUAGGAGUGACAUCCUCACCUUGAUGAAAAUUUCACUAUACUUAUUCUAGUAGACCCUUACCAACGAGUCGGAUUUAGUCCUUAUCUCGUUUGGUAAGUACCAACAACGUUUAGGGGGCGACAUUAUCAAGUUAGGGGUGAUACCCGCAUCUCGAUAUAUAGUCCCACUCCUCGAUUUUCAAUCCCGCCAAAGUAUUGAACUUUUAAUUAACUUAGGACAUGUAGUAACUUGGAUAUGUUGACUACGUCACUAUCUGUUACCCCCAUCCCUUUGUGCCAAUGGUCCUAAAUACUUGAACUUGGUCACAUGCGAAAUCACUUGACCCUCAAUGGUGAUUUGAGUGUCCUCAUCAUUGACUGUGCCACUAAAAUCAUAUUAUAGGUACUCGGUCUUAAAUCGAAUAAAUUAAACCUUUACCCUCUAGCUAUUCGCCACUCCCCUAACCUCACAUUCAGACUCUGUUUACUCUCUGCAACUAACACAAUAUCAAUCGCAAAAGCAAGCACAACAGGACCAUCCCUUGAAUUAACUUUGACAACUCAUAUAUGAUAACCACAAACAGGAAUGAGCUUAACGUAGACCCUUUGUGGAGCCCUACCUCCACAUGAAAAAAUCUAGAAUCCUAUGUAGGCACCUUAACACUAGUCUCAGUCUUAACAUACAUAUCCUUAAUUAUGUCUUUAUGCUUCCCAAAAACCCCUUUUAACUUCUAAACUAUCCUAAUGUAAUUACAUUUGCCCACAUUAUAAAAGUACUUUGAAUUGAACAACAUACCAUAAAGAUUGUUUUAUUGGUAGUAGUAGCAUAAACGAUAGCCAGUUGUUGAAUUAUUAGCUCGGUCAAACGCAUAUUAGAAAAGGUAGGUCAUGCUUAUUGGUAAAAUAUAUAGAAUAGGCUUAUGGAUACUCCUUCAUGCAUUUGCUGGUAGCGAGAUUUCCUUCGUUUUGUUUCUUGUAGCAUAUGAAUGGGUGGAGAUACAAUAGGAAGUUUAUUUGGCUAAGAAGGCUAGGAAGUGAUCUUGACCAUCCAUUAAGUUAAUCAAGAGCUAAGAUUAAAUCAGGGAAAUUGAAAGGAAGAAAAGAGGCGCGUGAGUUUGUUCAAGGGCAUUCUAGUCAAUCCAAGCCAAUAGUUUCUCUCUCCUCCAAUUCCCCCCCAUUUUUUAAACGUUAAUAACUCUUUCAUACGACAUUAUUUUUUUUUAUAAAAAUUGCACCAAAAAAACGAGCGUUUUUUUAUCUUUAAAACGAGAAUACUAUUGCUAUAUUU